AUACGGAGGGAACAAGCGUUAUUCGGAAUCACUGGGCGUAAAGGACGCGUAGGCGGGUUAUUAAGUCGGGUGUGAAAUCCAAUGGCUCAACCAUUGAACUGCAUUCGAAACUGAUAACCUGGAGUAUGGAAGGGGCAGGUGGAAUUAGUGGUGUAGGGGUAAAAUCCGUAGAUAUCACUAGGAAUACCGAAAGCGAAGGCAACCUGCUGGGACAUUACUGACGCUGAGGCGUGAAAGCGUGGGGAGCAAACAGGAUUAGAUACCCGAGUAGUCC
rnacentral:rRNA from 1 species